rnacentral:lncRNA from 1 species
GGAUCUUGGUGGCUAAGGGGACAGGGUUGAAUGAAAAGUUCCGCAAGACUCUCAGAAGUCACCGCCUGAACAGCAAACCUGAAUAACCGGGACAGACGUAAGGUCGGGCGACUUUCAGUGGUUCCCGCCUGCCCACGCUGCAGGUUUUUCAGGUCCCUGCUUGACCGUCACUCCCAGGCGUAAAUAAACGUGCGAUCAGCAGCCGUGUCAGCCAGCAGGCUAUUUAAGCAGGCACCAGCAUCUGCUGCUCCCCAGCCCAGCGCUCGCCCAGUCUUCAUACGCUCACGGACCAUGUCGGCGCAGACUGCGAGCGGCCCCACGGAGGACCAGGUGGAGAUCCUGGAGUACAACUUCAACAAGGUCAACAAGCACCCCGACCCCACCACGCUGUGCCUCAUCGCAGCCGAGGCGGGCCUCACGGAGGAGCAGACGCAGAAAUGGUUUAAGCAGCGCCUGGCGGAGUGGCGGCGGUCAGAAGGCCUGCCUUCGGAAUGCAGAUCGGUCACGGACUAGGGAGCCAGGCCCUUGAGCUUGCUCCCGGAACUUCCGUGCCUCAGUUUACCCAGGCUGUUUUGAUGUUUCAGUGCAGUGUUGAAUGUCUCAUUGUUUGCUGUCCUGCUGUUUAACACAAUGUGUUUUUUGAAUGUAUAUAACUAAAGAAACAAAAUAACAGGAAGCUAAAUGCAGUUCUGUGUAAAGCGAUGGCUUGGCCGGGAGAGGGGUGUGGCUUACGUUUCUCUUUGGAUUUUAAUGAAAGAUGAUGUGGGAGCAGUUUUUGUUUGCCCUUGACCGCCACUUUCCAAUCCGUAUGUACCACCAUCCGUUUCAGAGCAUUCCAGAGCUGCCUGGCUUCUGUUGAGAAGUUAAAGGA